CACGUAGGGGCCAAGCGUUGUCCGGAUUUAUUGGGCGUAAAGAGCUCGUAGGCGGUUCAGCAAGUCGGGUGUGAAAACUCUGGCUCAACCCAGAGACGCCACCGAUACUGCUGUGACUAGAGUCCGGUAGGGGAGUGGGGAAUUCCUGGUGUAGCGGUGAAAUGCACAGAUAUCAGGAGGAACACCGGUGGCGAAGGCGCCACUCUGGGCCGGCACUGACGCUGAGGAGCGAAAGCGUGGGUAGCAAACGAG
rnacentral:rRNA from 1 species